UCCGGAGAGGAUGCCUUAGAAACGGCAACCACAUCUAAGGAAGGCAGCAGGCGCGCAAAUUACCCACUCUCAAUUCGAGGAGGUAGUGACAACAACUAACGAGACUGCGUCCUAUGGGCGCAGUCAUCGAAAUGGGUACAAUUUAAACCCUUUAACGAGGAUCUAUGAGAGGGCAAGUCUGGUGCCAGCAGCCGCGGUAAUUCCAGCUCUCAAAGUGUAUGUCAUUAUUGCUGCGGUUAAAAAGCUCGUAGUUGGAUCUGAGCCCGUGGAUACAGUUCACCUCUGUGUGAUACUGUCAUCCUGGGUUAAUUUCGUCGGUCUUCCGGCGAGAGUUACUCUGAACAAAUCGGAGUGCUCAAAACAAGCGUUUCGCUUGAACGUUUUUGCAUGGAAUAAUGGAAAAGGACUUCGGUUCCUUACUGUUGGUUUCGGAAUUGGAUUAAUGAUUAAGAGGGACCAACGGGGGCAUACGUAUCGCUGCGCGAGAGGUGAAAUUCAUGGACCGCAGCGAGACGACCUACAGCGAAAGCAUUUGCCAAGAAUGUCUUCAUUAAUCAAGAACGAAAGUCAGAGGUUCGAAGGCGAUUAGAUACCGCCCUAGUU
rnacentral:rRNA from 1 species